AGCCAAUAGAUACCCGGGUAGUCCACGCCCUAAACGAUGUCUACUAGUUGUUGGUGGAGUAAAAUCCAUGAGUAAACGCAGCUAAACGCGUGAAGUAGACCGCCUGGGGAGUACGGUCGCAAGAUUAAAACUCAAAUGAAUUGACGGGGGCCCGCACAAGCGGUGGAUUAUGUGGAUUAAUUCGAUGCAACGCGAAAAACCUUACCUGGCCUUGACAUGUAGCGAACUUUCCAGAGAUGGAUUGGUGCCCGAAAGGGAGCGCUAACACAGGUGCUGCAUGGCUGUCGUCAGCUCGUGUCGUGAGAUGUUGGGUUAAGUCCCGCAACGAGCGCAACCCUUGCCAUUAAUUGCCAUCAUUUAGUUGGGCACUUUAAUGGGACUGCCGGUGACAAACCGGAGGAAGUGGGGAUGACGUCAAGUCCUCAUGGCCCUUAUGGCCAGGGCUUCACACGUAAUACAAUGGUCGGUACAGAGAGUUGCCAACCCGCAGGGGGAGCCAAUCUCAGAAAGCCGAUCGUAGUCCGGAUUGUAGUCUGC
rnacentral:rRNA from 1 species